AUGAGGGAGGCCGCAAGACUAGGAGCCACGCCUCUCCUCCACGGCCUCCCAGAUGAUAUCGUCAUAUGCGAGAUCCUCGUCCGCCUCGACCCCAAAUCCCUCCUCCGCUGCCGCGCCGUCUGCUGCAUCUGGCGCAGCGUCACCUCCGCCCGCGACUUCCUCCUCUUCCAUCAUGGCCGCCAAACGUCCCUCCCCAUCCUCUACGGCUACUGCUGCGAAGGCAACGAUGUCAAGUCCACAGACAUCAUCCCCUUCAACCACCGGGCAGCGCUCGCAGCCGACCAGCUUCACUCGGUCGCGCGACUUGACUACGCACACUUCCGGCCGGUGGCCUCCUCUGACGGCCUCCUCAUCCUCUCCUUCUGCUACGCCUACUUCACCAUCUGCAACCCGGUAACUCGUCAGUUUGCAUGCCUCGGUAGGCUCUCUGGCUUUAGCCUAUUGGGAAUUUACCCUCACCCGCCUACAGGUGAGUACAGACUGCUCAUGCAUUCUUCGGAAUCCACAAAGCAAACUUCUUUUCGUUUUCAUGACCGCACCAAUUGGAAAGCUAGGAAUCAAGUUGGUUGCUACGUCUUAUCACUGGGAUCUGGCAAGCUGUGGAGGUACAUUGACUCUGCGGAUACCAAUCAACUUCAAUUCAGCAACACAUCUGUGUUAUUGUGUGGUUGCUUGCAUUGCCUAGUACGACAUGGGAGCGAUAGCAACAUGAUAAUGGUGUUCGACACCAUAGCCGAGUCGAUCCGGAUGAUGCUUGCUCCGGUUUUUUCUGGCGGGUGUGAUGCCCUAUUUGAGAUGGAUGGUAAGCUUGGCAUGUCCAGCUCUAAUGAUGCAAAGACAAUCAUUGAUAUAUGGGUGCUGCAGGAGUAUGAAAGUGAGGACUGUAUCUUAAAGUGCCAGAUUAAAUUGCCGGUAACGGAGAUCAAGGCGUUGUGUAAAAAUCAUGAGGACGAUGAAUUGUGGGAUGUGGUUGCCGUGCAUGCGGAUGGUAAAUUGUUCGUGCUGAUCAAAUGUACCGAGUGGCUACUUCAGGUUGACAUGGAUGGCAAGUUGGUCGCCACUUUCCAUCACAAAGGUGUCCGUCCUACUCAAUUGCAGCUCAAACAAAGUCUUGUUCCGCAUGCCUUCUUUCCAUCACUACAUGGUUAUGUUGUGAACGGUUGGCCUUUCAUCCGAGAGUGA
rnacentral:rRNA from 1 species